rnacentral:rRNA from 1 species
UAGGGAAUCUUCCGCAAUGGGCGAAAGCCUGACGGAGCAACGCCGCGUGAGUGAUGAAGGUCUUCGGAUCGUAAAACUCUGUUAUUAGGGAAGAACAAAUGUGUAAGUAACUAUGCACGUCUUGACGGUACCUAAUCAGAAAGCCACGGCUAACUACGUGCCAGCAGCCGCGGUAAUACGUAGGCGGCAAGCGUUAUCCGGAAUUAUUGGGCGUAAAGCGCGCGUAGGCGGUUUUUUAAGUCUGAUGUGAAAGCCCACGGCUCAACCGUGGAGGGUCAUUGGAGACUGGAAGACUUGGGUGCAGAAGAGGAGAGUGGAAUUCCAGUUGUAGCGGUGAAAUGCGCAGAAAUAUGGAGGAACACCAGUGGCGAAGGCGUCUUUCUGGUCUGUAACUGACGCUGAUGUGCGAAAGCGUGGGGAUCAAACAGG